GGGUCAGUAGGUUGGUCGUGCCACCGGUACGUACUGGUCUCACUGAUUCCUCCUUCCUGAAGAACCGUAAUGCCAUUAAUUUGGUGUUGCGGGGAAACAGGACUGUUACUUUGGAAAAAUUAGAGUGUUUAAAGCAAGCUAACGCUUGAAUACAUGAGCAUGGAAUAAUGAAAUAGGACGAUCGAUCCUAUUUUGUUGGUUUCUAGGAUUGACGUA
rnacentral:rRNA from 1 species